ACCAUCCUUUUCUUGGGAUUGCAGUACUGUCCAAUGAGCUUGUAGUAAGGGCUUCUAACAACUACACAGCACACCCCCAUCAACUAUAGCUUUGCUUUACUUUGGUGCAACUUUUAGAAAG